GAGUAACACGUGGGCAACCUGCCGGACUGAUGGGAAUAACCCCGGGAAACCGGGGCUAAUGCCCAAUACGCCCUGACCUCGCCUGAGGUCAGCGGAAAAGCAGGGAUCUUCGGAUCCUUGCACAGUCCGAUGGGCCCGCGGCGCAUUAGCUAGUUGGAGAGGUAAGGGCUCCCCAAGGCGACGAUGCGUAGCCGACCUGAGAGGGUGAUCGGCCACACUGGGACUGAGACACGGCCCAGACUCCUACGGGAGGCAGCAGUAGGGAAUCAUCCGCAAUGGGCGAAAGCCUGACGGUGCAACGCCGCGUGAGUGAUGAGGGUUUUCGGAUCGUAAAGCUCUGUUGACAGGGAAGAACCCACGCCAGUCGAACAGGCUGGCGUGCUGACGGUACCUGUCCAGAAAGCCCCGGCUAACUACGUGCCAGCAGCCGCGGUAAUACGUAGGGGGCAAGCGUUGUCCGGAAUUAUUGGGCGUAAAGGGCACGCAGGCGGUUUCGUCAGUCCGAUGUGACAGGCCACGGCUCAACCGNGGAAGGNCAUUGNAAACUGCGAAACUUGAGGACAGAAGAGGAGAGUGGAANUCCACGUGUAGCGGUGAAUGCGUANAUAUGUGGAGGAACACCAGUGGCGAAGGNNACUCUCUGGUCUGUACCUGACGCUGAGGUGCGAAAGCAUGGGGAGCAAACANGNNUAGAUACCCCUGGUAGUCCAUGCCGNAAACGCUGAGUGCUAGGUGUUAGGGGUUUCGAUACCCGUAGNGCCGAAGCNUAACGNCNUUAAGC
rnacentral:rRNA from 1 species